GUCUUUAUCUUUGCAAUACUCAACAAGAACAGAGCUAUCCAAGUGGAAAUCUCAUAUGUAAGAGGAUAGCCCUCAUACUUCUCAGCUUGGCUUGAUCACAUAGCAAACCAGUUUCAGAUAGACCUUCCAAGUUCAAGAGGGAGAAAGAAGCCACCAUAAGUCUCACUCCAUAGGAAGCAAAGUUCAAUUGAGCCAAGCAAUUCCUUUGGUAGACUGACAAUAUAGUUGGUCUUUAUCUUCUUCCUCUACUAUUGUUGGUCUUAGCCUUCUCUUCUUCAAGCUUAGCUUGCUCACACAACAAGCAAGUUUACAGGUUGAGGGAGGGCAAGGAGUGCAUGACAGCUUCUCUUCGAAUCAUUCCUUUGAUCUCCAGCUUCAUCAGGGAGAGAUGAGCCACCAUACGUCUUACUCUGUAGGUAGCAUCCCCUUCUCAUGGGAGAACCAGCCAGGUAUCUCCAAGGUCAUACCACAAGCAGAAGAGAGUCACCUCAAGCUGCCGCCGCCACCAUGCAAAUCCGACAGCCCCAUGUCCGCGGCGCAUGGCCUACAUGUUCCUCUCCCACCGUGCAUCUUCCAGCCGCCGUCGCGGAGCUCGUCGAAGAAAGGUUUGAAGGAGGAGGACGACCCCUUCUUCGCAGCUUACAUGGAGUGCACCAGAAACGUUAGGACGCAAGGGAGGAGGGGUUCGAGGAGGAGGAAGAGAGAUGGUUUGAUUGGGUUGUUCUCCUGUACGGGUAGCAGUGGAGUUAGGGAGAAGGCCAUUGUGAGGCUGUCACAGCUUCCUGAAGUGAGAGAGUGAUGAGAAGCUUGGAAUCCAUGGGGAACCUGUUGUGCUGAUCCUGUGGUUCUUGCUCCAUGAAUCACCUUCUUCAGCAGUACUUUGUAAGUAGAAAGAUUUAUGCAGGUCGGAAUGACAGAUGUUAUAGGUGACACGGUAAUAUUCUACUGAAAGCAUAGUUAUAUUGAUGAAUACAUGUAAUGAUAUUGUACAAAGAGAUUGCGCAAUAAGAGAAAAUAAUAAACAAUAUAAUUUGUUGGUUA